AGGAAGGUGGGGAGUGACGUCAAAUCAUCAUGCCCCUUACUGACCUGGGCUACACACGUGCUACAAUGGUUGGUACAACGAGUUGCGAGUCGGUGGACGGGCGAGCUAAUCUCUUAAAGCCAAUCUCAGUUCGGAUUGUAGGCUGCAACUCGCCUACAUGAAGUCGGAAUCGCUAGUAAUCGCGGAUCAGCACGCCGCGGUGAAUACGUUCCCGGGCCUU
rnacentral:rRNA from 1 species